rnacentral:lncRNA from 1 species
GAGGUAGACUUCUUAGGUCAUUGCCCUUCAGCCACGGCAGCCGCAGCCAUCAUCUGCGCCGCAAGCGAGGCUCCUUCUCUGCCGCCGGUCAGCCCCCAGUCAGCAUCGUUAUGGUGUUCUGGAUUAACUUCGGUAAGCUCCGUAAAAAAAGCUCGAUGAAUUAAAAUUGAACGUCAGUAUGGUCAAUUUAGUUUGGGGUGGUUUCCUCAGGAGGGUAUCAAGAGUUGCUACCAGCUGAUGAAACAGCUCGCCGUUGACGGCAGCUGGGAGAAGCGGCGGCAGAACAGCCCGCCGCCGAAAAUAGAGACGUCGCUCAGCAUAAACUCUGACGAGCCCCCACCGUCGUCCUCCUCGUCUCCGACGAAUAAGAGGAGGAAGCUCAGCGAUUGCCGCUGGGUGGACGACAGUUGGGAGAAAGAGAGGGGGAUACAGAGGGAGAGAGGGAGAGGGAGAGGGAGAGGGAGCCCUGAAUGACGAUCCACAGAAUCAAGAUUAAAGGAAGAAGAUCUACCAGGCCAUAUCACACGGCGUUUGCGCAGAUUCCUCAGUAUUUUUUAGAGGAGUUUGGGAAGGUUUUUCGAUUUUUUUUAUUGAUUCCUCUAAAUGGGGGCCUUCUACUCACUGCCGAGGAGGUAAUGGAAGAUGGGCCGGCAGAUUCUCAAAUGUGGGAGGUUCAUCAAUUUAUAUUCAUCCUUCCUCUUCCAUUCUUGUUUCCUGAGCUAGACUUUGAUGAGAGGGGAAGGCACCGCUUUGGACUGUGACCUCUGUAACAUGGGAUGGUAUCAGAGUGGUAUCAGAGGCCUCACAUGGCUCAGCGAGACAGAGAGAGAGAGAGAGAGAGAGAGCGUGCCAGCCAUGCAGGAGUAGAAAGAAGAG